rnacentral:rRNA from 1 species
CAAGCAGUGGAGUAUGUGUUUAAUUCGAAGCAACGCGAAGACCCUUACCAGGUCUUGACAUCCCUCUGACCGUCCUAGAGAUAGGGCUUCCCUUCGGGGCAGAGGUGACAGGUGGUGCAUGGUUGUCGUCAGCUCGUGUCGUGAGAUGUUGGGUUAAGUCCCGCAACGAGCGCAACCCUUAACUUUAGUUGCCAGCAUUAAGUUGGGCACUCUAGAGUGACUGCCGGUGACAAACCGGAGGAAGGUGGGGAUGACGUCAAAUCAUCAUGCCCCUUAUGACCUGGGCUACACACGUACUACAAUGGCUGGUACAACGGGAAGCGAAGCCGCGAGGUGGAGCGAAUCCUAAAAAGCCAGUCUCAGUUCGGAUUGCAGGCUGCAACUCGCCUGCAUGAAGUCGGAAUUGCUAGUAAUCGCGGAUCAGCAUGCCGCGGUGAAUACGUUCCCGGGUCUUGUACACACCGCCCGUCACACCACGAGAGU